rfam:Smithella sp. SDB scaffold-5606, whole genome shotgun sequence.
GGUCAAGCUACUAAGGGCGCAGGGUGAAUGCCUUGGUGCCAGGAGGCGAUGAAAGACGUGGUAAGCUGCGAUAAGCUUCGGGGAGCCGCUAAACAGGCCUAGAUCCGGGGAUUUCUGAAUGGGGGAACCCGGCCCGUGUCAUGACGGGUCAUCUGCAACUGAAUUCAUAGGUUGCUGAAGCGAACGGGGGGAACUGAAACAUCUAAGUACCCUCAGGAAAAGAAAACGACAGUGAUUCCCUAAGUAGUGGCGAGCGAACGGGGAACAGCCCAAACCGGAAGUACUUCGGUAUUUCCGGGGUUGUGGGACCUCAAUGUGGGAUUGAUGAUGGAUAGGUGAUCGGUCUGGAAAGGCCGGCCAUAGAGGGUGAUAGCCCCGUAACCGAAAUCUUGAGUCACCCUAGAGGUAUCCCGAGUACUGCGGGACACGAGAAAUCCCGCAGGAAGCUGGGGGGACCAUCUCCCAAGGCUAAAUACUACCUGGUAACCGAUAGUGAACUAGUACCGUGAGGGAAAGGUGAAAAGCACUCCGAAAGGAGAAUGAAAUAGUACCUGAAACCGUGUGCCUACAAGGUGUGGAAGGACCAGGGAUGAAGCAAUUCAUCCGGUCUGACUGCGUGCCUUUUGUAUAAUGAGUCAGCGAGUUACUCUAUGUAGCGAGGUUAAGCCGUCAGGUGGAGCCGUAGCGAAAGCGAGUCUUAAUAGGGCGAUUUAGUUAUGUGGAGUAGACCCGAAGCCAAGUGAUCUAUUCAUGGCCAGGGUGAAGCGCAUGUAACAGUGCGUGGAGGCCCGAACCGGUGUGGGUUGAAAACCGCUCGGAUGAGCUGUGAAUAGGGGUGAAAGGCCAAUCAAACUUGGAAAUAGCUGGUUCUCCCCGAAAUAUAUUUUGGUAUAGCCUCGCAACUUUAAGUACCGGAGGUAGAGCACUGAAUGGGCUAGGGGUCUUACCCGACUACCAACCCCAACCAAACUCCGAAUGCCGGUAACUUCAAUUGCGGGAGUCAGACUGCGGGAGAUAAGUUCCGUAGUCGAAAGGGAAACAGCCCAGACCGCCAGCUAAGGUCCCUAAUACAUGCUAAGUGGAAAAGGAUGUGGAAACGUAUAGACAGCCAGGAGGUUGGCUUAGAAGCAGCCACCCUUUAAAGAAAGCGUAAUAGCUCACUGGUCAAAUGAGUCUGCGCCGAAAAUUCAACGGGGCUCAAGCAUGUAACCGAAGCUGCGGACUUGCACCGCAAGGUGGGAGUGGUAGGGGAGCAUUCUAUCGUAGAGCGAAGCCGGAUCGUAAGGCCCGGUGGACGAAAUAGAAGAGAUUAUGCUGACAUAAGUAGCGAAAAAGUCUGUGAAAAACAGACUCGCCGAAAACCUAAGGUUUCCUGAGUAAAGUUAAUCUGCUCAGGGUUAGUCGAUCCCUAAGCCGAGGCCGACAGGCGUAGGUGAUGGGAAACAGGUUAAUAUUCCUGUACCACUGAAGAAGCGUUAUCAACAAUGGGGGGACGUAGAAGGGUAGGCCAUCCGGGUGUUGGAUGUCCCGGUUCAAGCUGGUAGGAGGAGAUUCCAGGUAAAUCCGGAAUCUUAUUAAACUCCGAGAAGUGAUGAGGAGAGAUUUAUCUCGUAAACUGGCUGAUCCCAUGCUACCAAGAAAAGCCUCUAGUGAGUUUCUUUGGUGAUCGUACCGCAAACUGACACAGGUAGGUGAGGAGAAUAUCCUAAGGCGCUUGAGUAAUAUCUCGUUAAGGAACUCGGCAAAAUGACACCGUAACUUCGGAAGAAGGUGUGCCUCAUUAGCGUGAAACGAUUCGCACGUGAAGCGCGAGGAGGUUGCAGUGAAACGGCCCAAGCGACUGUUUAGCAAAAACACAGGACUCUGCUAAGUCGUAAGACGAUGUAUAGGGUCUGACGCCUGCCCGGUGCCGGAAGGUUAAGGGGAUUUGUUAGCCGUAAGGCGAAGCAUUGAACCGAAGCCCCGGUAAACGGCGGCCGUAACUAUAACGGUCCUAAGGUAGCGAAAUUCCU